AUUGAACGCUGGCGGCAGGCCUAACACAUGCAAGUCGAACGAGUGGCGGACGGGUGAGUACUGUAUGGGACACUGCCUGAUGGAGGGGGCUAACUCCUGGAAACGGUAGCUAAUACCGCAUACCAUCAGAUGUGCCCAGAUGGGAUUAGCUUGUUGGUGGGGUAACGGCUCACCAAGGCGACGAUCCCUCGCUGGUCUGAGAGGAUGACCAGGCAAAAUGGAACUGAGACACGGCCCAGACUCCUACGGGAGGCAUCAGUGGGGAAUAUUGCACAAUGGGCGCAAGCCUGAUGCAGCCAGGCCGCGUGUAUGAAGAAGGCCUUCGGGUUGUAAAGUACUUUCAGCGGGGAGGCGUUACCCGCAGAAGAAGCACCGGCUAACUCCGUGCCAGCAGCCGCGGUAAUAC
rnacentral:rRNA from 1 species